GCAGCUCUGCUGGAAAGUGUGCAAGGAAACCCGUAUUUGAUUUUCGCGGCGUAGGCUGUUGUUUUUGUUACGGUUGCUGCGCCGAUAAAUUGAAUCCUUUGAAAGCGAGACAAGUUAAUUUUUCAGCAGCAGGCGAACGACUGUCGAGCAGUUUUCGUUGGCGCCAGUGUGGCGGCGAAGUCGGAGUUGGCGUCGGCGUCGUGGAAAGGCCAGGAAAAUGCAUAUACAAAAGGACAUGGAACCUUUGGGGGCUGGCGGGGGCGGUGGCAGCACCCUCAAGUCGGAAGCGCGAAACAGACCAAAGAGAGUCGGAGAGAGUGGUUGUUGGAGAGUGGAGAGUGGUUGUUGUGGGGGUUGCAGUGCUUGACUCUGGCAGAACCACUCUACAGUUUAGCCGGACCUUACUUUUAAUCUUAAUACGUUUUUUGUUUCUGAAAAACUUGAUUUUAUCAUCGAAUUGGGCCUCGUUCUAAGCUUUCGAAACAUCGACCGAAUCAAUUUCGAAUUUCGAAAUCCGAAGCCUGCGCAGUGGGAAAUCGCGAGGCGUUGAAAGCGAUGAGGUGAGAGCAAUCGACUGGGAGAGCGGAAGCAGGCGCGAUGAGUCGCAUAAGUGCAUUCGGAAAACCGGCAUGUUACAGAAUGUAUUCCGGUCGAAUACCACUUUUAACCAAAAGCUAAACAAUAACAUUUCAUUUUUGGACACAACAGCAGGAAAGCAAAUUUCUAUAAUAAUUUUCUUUAAAAAAAAAUUUCUUCUCUUUACUUUUAUUAAACCUAUUCGGUUCACUUUGUAUUUCAUCAAAAUCUAUCAUCAUAACAUGACGAAGAGCAACCAAAAAUAAUAAUUGUGUCAAAUAAAUACAAACAUAAAUAUUGAAUACCUCGUA